UACGUAGGGGGCAAGCGUUGUCCGGAAUCAUUGGGCGUAAAGAGCGUGUAGGCGGCUUGGUAGGUCCGCUGUGAAAACUCGAGGCUCAACCUCGAGAUGUCGGCGGAAACCACUUGGCUAGAGUCCGGAAGAGGAGAGUGGAAUUCCUGGUGUAGCGGUGAAAUGCGCAGAUAUCAGGAAGAACACCUAUGGCGAAGGCAGCUCUCUGGGACGGUACUGACGCUGAGGCGCGAAAGCGUGGGGAGCAAACAGG
rnacentral:rRNA from 1 species